ACACACUCUUUAUGUGUUUCUAUUUUAGAAAAGCAUGCUUCUCCUUUAUCAGAAAGGCUUUGCUAAAAUAAUCUUUAAAAUGUUUUGUGAGUCAUAUUAGAUUAUUUGCCUAAAUAAAAGGGUAGACAUUUCUUCUUUCCAUGAGUUAUACAGAUGUGUCAGCUGAAUUAGACAAAGGGUGAGGAUUCAUGGAGACAAUGAAAUUUGCUAUUGCAUGUGUUCCCGGUUGAAAAUCCGUGCGACUCCAGAGGCGAGCAGAGGAGUUGCUUUGUAACAGCAGAGAAUCUCGGAUGCCUACACUUUGAGUAUUCAGACAGGAUAACUGAAGAUCCUGUUGACUCACCACCUGACUGAGGAUUGCUAACGGAAGAAGUCUUUGCUCUUAUGAAGCCCGUGGCCUUCCUGUUACAAGUGGAAGUCAACUUCUGGAAAUCCCUUUCCUUGUCUGUGUUUUAUUGAUAGUUCUCUAGACCCACAGCACUACUACACUGAGUCUUUCACUAUAAAAGGCAAGACUGCAAAAGGGCACAAAAUGCUAAAAAGUUUGUCUACCUUUCUUGUAUCCCAGGACCCACAAAGUGAACUCAUCCUUCAAGAAAAAGAAUGAGAGAGAAGGAAAGAAAGGGAUCAGAGAUAAAGCGGGUAACUCACUCAGGUUCAAUCCCUAGCUCCACAUAUUAUCCCCUGUGACCCAUAAGAUGAUAUCCCUGGGUGCAGACUAAUCCUUAAGCAUAGCCAGUGUUGAUGCCAAGAGUGAGGAAGGAAAGAAGGAAGGAAGGAAGGAAGGAAGGAAGGAAGGAAGGAAGGAAGGAAGGAAGGAAGACGGAUGGGUGGGCUACCUUUGGUAGCAAUGUAGCACUGUCCUCCCAUUGUUCAUCGAUUUGCUGGAGUGGGCACCAGUAAUGUCUCCAUUGUGAGACUUGUUGUUACUGUUUUUGGCAUCUCGAAUAUGCCACAGGGAGCUUGUCAGGGUCUGCUGUGCAGGCGGGAUUCUCUCGGUAGCUUGCCAGGCUCUCUGAGACGAAUGGACUACAUUUGGUAUGUUGAUUGUCGAUUUGCUUGAGCGGGCCCAGUAACAUCUCCAUUGGAGACUUUGUUGUUACUGUGUCUGGCAUAUUGAAUACUCUCGAUAGCUUGCCGGGCUCUCCGAGAGGGGCGGAGGAAUCGAACUUGGGUCGGCCAUGUUGGCCGCUUGUAAGGCGAACGCCCUACCCGCUGUGCUAUCGCUCCAGCCCAUGUUAUAUAUACUAAAUGUCCAUAGUCUAGCUUAACCUACCUUAAAUAGUCCAAACACUCUUAUUCACCUUAUAUUAGUUAGCAAAAUUAUCCAAUACAAAGUUUGUUUUAUAAAAGUGUUGAAUAUCUCACAUAAUUUAUAGAAUUCUUGAA